rnacentral:rRNA from 1 species
CACGUAGGGCGCAAGCGUUGUCCGGAAUUAUUGGGCGUAAAGGGCUCGUAGGCGGUCUGUUGCGUCGGGAGUGAAAACUCAGGGCUUAACCCUGAGCCUGCUUCCGAUACGGGCAGACUAGAGGUAUGCAGGGGAGAACGGAAUUCCUGGUGUAGCGGUGAAAUGCGCAGAUAUCAGGAGGAACACCGGUGGCGAAGGCGGUUCUCUGGGCAUUACCUGACGCUGAGGAGCGAAAGUGUGGGGAGCGAACAGG